CAUUGAAACACAGGUUCCCGUAUGAUCACCAAAGCUAAACAAUACUGAGCCUGCUAAGUACCUAGAUGGGUUACUGCUUGUGAAUACCAGGUGCUGUAA